rnacentral:rRNA from 1 species
GAUGAACGCUGGCGGCGUGCCUAAUACAUGCGAGUCGAGCGAACGGACGAGAAGCUUGCUUUUCUGAUGUUAGCGGCGGACGGGUGAGUAACACGUGGAUAACCUACCUAUAAGACUGGGAUAACUUCGGGAAACCGGAGCUAAUACUGGAUAAUAUUUUGAACCGCAUGGUUCAAAAGUGAAAGACGGUCUUGCUGUCACUUAUAGAUGGAUCCGCGCUGCAUUAGCUAGUUGGUAAGGUAACGGCUUACCAAGGCAACGAUGCAUAGCCGACCUGAGAGGGUGAUCGGCCACACUGGAACUGAGACACGGUCCAGACUCCUACGGGAGGCAGCAGUAGGGAAUCUUCCGCAAUGGGCGAAAGCCUGACGGAGCAACGCCGCGUGAGUGAUGAAGGUCUUCGGAUCGUAAAACUCUGUUAUUAGGGAAGAACAUAUGUGUAAGUAACUGUGCACAUCUUGACGGUACCUAAUCAGAAAGCCACGGCUAACUACGUG